GCUGAAGAGGGUCGAUCCAAUAGAUCAUCUGUCGUAUCCUCGAUUUCUGCGUCGUGCAAGACGUUUCUUGAAUGCAUCUUCUGAGUUUUACGACCACAGAGGUUGUUGGAAGCCAUAUUAUUUGGGAUUAUCAAAAAAUUACUAUAAAUGUAUUGCGUCUAGAAACUCACGAGAUUCGUCAAUGAGUCUUUCGAUAUAGCGACUUCUUCCCCAACAGGGUCUUGAUUCGACUACAGGUAUUUCUCUUCGUCGUCCUCUGAAAACGACGACGGAAUCAUCAAGGAUGUUUAAUGUCAACCAAGAUAUCAGGAAAAUUAUGAAAAUAAAUGGAAGUAAAAACUAAAGAAUGAACUCUCAACUUCUUCUCAAUUGAAACUUGUUUAUUGACUUCCUGCUUCUCCGUGAACCUAUUCUUAUCCCGCCGACGGCAUGCAUCAGGAGCUUGACUGUUGUCUGGAGUUACCGUAGUUGGAAAAGCUACAGUACUCUGUUUACGAGUAUCCUUG